GGUAGUCCACGCCGUAAACGAUGUCGACUUGGAGGUUGUUCCCUUGAGGAGUGGCUUCCGGAGCUAACGCGUUAAGUCGACCGCCUGGGGAGUACGGCCGCAAGGUUAAAACUCAAAUGAAUUGACGGGGGCCCGCACAAGCGGUGGAGCAUGUGGUUUAAUUCGAUGCAACGCGAAGAACCUUACCUACUCUUGACAUCCACGGAAUUCGGCAGAGAUGCCUUAGUGCCUUCGGGAACCGUGAGACAGGUGCUGCAUGGCUGUCGUCAGCUCGUGUUGUGAAAUGUUGGGUUAAGUCCCGCAACGAGCGCAACCCUUAUCCUUUGUUGCCAGCGAUUCGGUCGGGAACUCAAAGGAGACUGCCGGUGAUAAACCGGAGGAAGGUGGGGAUGACGUCAAGUCAUCAUGGCCCUUACGAGUAGGGCUACACACGUGCUACAAUGGCGCAUACAAAGAGAAGCGACCUCGCGAGAGCAAGCGGACCUCACAAAGUGCGUCGUAGUCCGGAUCGGAGUCUGCAACUCGACUCCGUGAAGUCGGAAUCGCUAGUAAUCGUGGAUCAGAAUGCCACGGUGAAUACGUUCCCGGGCCUUGUACACACCGCCCGUCACACCAUGGGAGUGGGUUGCACCAGAAGUAGCUAGUCUAACCUUCGGGAGGACGGUUACCACGGUGUGAUUCAUGACUGGGGUGGAAGUCGUAACAAGGUAACC
rnacentral:rRNA from 1 species